AGGGUUUGAUCCUGGCUCAGAACGUACGCUGGCGGCACGCCUAACACAUGCAAGUCGAACGAAGUAGCAAUACUUAGUGGCAGACGGGUGAGUAACAUGUGGGUAUCUGCCCUUUGGCCUGGAAUAACACGAGGAAACUUGUGCUAAUACCGGAUAAGUCUUUACGGAGAAAGCUUUAUGCACCAUUGGAUGAGCCCGCACUUGAUUAGUUUGUUGGUAGGGUAAUGGCCUACCAAGACUGUGAUCAAUAGCUGAUUUGAGAGGAUGAUCAGCCACAUUGGGACUGAGACACGGCCCAAACUCCUACGGGAGGCAGCAGUGGGGAAUCUUGCACAAUGGAGGAAACUCUGAUGCAGCGAUGCCGCGUGAGUGAAGAAGGCCCUUGGGUUGUAAAGCUCUUUCGUCGGGGAAGAAAAUGACUGUACCCGAAUAAGAAGGUCCGGCUAACUUCGUGCCAGCCGCCGCGGUAAUUC
rnacentral:rRNA from 1 species